rnacentral:rRNA from 1 species
UGGGGGAAUAUUGGACAAUGGGCGAAAGCCUGAUCCAGCCAUGCCGCGUGUGUGAAGAAGGUCUUCGGAUUGUAAAGCACUUUAAGUUGGGAGGAAGGGCAGUAAGCUAAUACCUUGCUGUUUUGACGUUACCGACAGAAUAAGCACCGGCUAACUCUGCGCCAG